UGGGCCCAGAGAGAGAGUGUUCUGAAGAGGGUUGGCGGAGAUGGUAGACUUGAAGGAGAGUUUAGGAAGGGAGAUGGUAGAGGAGGAGAGAGAGAAGUGCGAGAGAGAGGAGGCCUGAGUGGGGAUUUUGGCCUUGGCUGGCGUGCGGGAGAACAGAGAAGAGAUUUUGGGCUGGUUGAAAAAGUGGGUAGGGAGAAUUGUGGAUAGAGAAAAAGAGAGAGAGGCAGUGGCAAAUGG
rnacentral:misc_RNA from 1 species